rnacentral:lncRNA from 1 species
AUGGGGGCUGCAGUUCCAGCUGUGGGGCUGCGGCUCCAGCUGUGGGGCUGUGGCUCCAGCUGCUGUGUGCCCGUCUGCUGCUGCAAGCCCGUGUGCUGCUGUGUGCCAGCCUGCUCCUGCUCCAGCUGUGGCAAAGGCGGCUGUGGCUCCUGUGGGGCUCCAAGGGGCUGUGGCUCCUGUGGGGUUCCAAGGGGCUGUGGCUCCUGUGGGGUUCAAGGGGCUGUGGCUCCUGUGGGGUUCCCAGGGGCUGUGGCUCCUGUGGGGCUCCAAGGGGCUGUGGCUCCUGUGGGGCUCCAAGGGGCUGUGGCUCCUGUGGGGCUGUGGCUCUGGCUGUGGGGCUGUGGCUCCAGCUGCUGUGUGCCCGUGUGCUGCUGUGUGCCAGCCUGCUCUUGCUCCAGCUGUGGCAAAGGCGGCUGUGGCUCCUGUGGCUGCUCCCAGGCCAGCUGCUGUGUCCCGUUUGCUGCCAGCGCAAGAUUUAAUUUUCAGUUUUGCAGGAUUCUUACCAGACCCAGCACCAUCCCUGGUCAGGAGUCCUGGGCUCCAGUGAAGCCGCCCCAUCCUCCUUCCUUUCCAAGCAUGAACAUUUUUGACCUCCUGUCCAAUGCGAUGGGGUGUAUGUCCAAUGAUGACUUCCAAAGCCUCAUUCCCAGCAUCUGGAGACCAUCCUCGCCACCUGCAUCAGUGAAUGGCCAGUCCCGAGCCCUGACCAACUGCACGGCUCCUGCGAGGACAUCUGAGCAGACGACACAGGCUUUUCUCAGCUCUGCCACUCACAUCUCUCUGUCCCUUAACCUAAUAAAGCCACGUGUCCCAGAACCCAUUGCUGUUUGCCCUAUUUGUCUGUCUAAGCCCUCUGCUGGGGUGGCAGGGUGUGUGUCAGCAUUACACCUGUGCCACGCUCAUUCCUGGACCUCUAACAGCCCACCUGCCCGAGCUGCCCAUAGCGUCCUCAGCCGAUGUGGAUCUGCGCCUUCCAAACGCCAUGUGUGUGUUUUCUACAGCCAGCUAGCUGAGCAGCCUUGA